rnacentral:tRNA from 1 species
GCCUGUGUGGCUCAGUCGGUUGAACAUCUGACUUCAGCUCAGGUCAUGAUCUCAUGGUUUGUGAGUUCGAGCCCCACAUCAGGCU